rnacentral:rRNA from 1 species
UACGGAGGGGGCAAGUGUUAUCCGGAAUCACUGGGCGUAAAGCGUCUGUAGGUGGUUCGAAAAGUCCACUGUUAAAAAUUGAGGCUUAACUUCAAAGAUGCCGUGGAAACUUUCAAACUAGAGUAUGGUAGGGGUAGAGGGAAUUUCCAGUGGAGCGGUGAAAUGCGUAGAUAUUGGAAAGACCACCGAUGGCGAAGGCGCUCUACUGGGCCAUUACUGACACUGAGAGACGAAAGCUAGGGGAGCAAAUGGG